UACGUAGGGGGCGAGCGUUGUCCGGAUUCAUUGGGCGUAAAGGGCGCGUAGGUGGCGCUGUAAGUCGGGUGUGAAAUUUCGGAGCUUAACUCCGAAACUGCAUUCGAUACUGCGGUGCUUGAGGACUGGAGAGGAGACUGGAAUUCAUGGUGUAGCAGUGAAAUGCGUAGAGAUCAUGAGGAAGACCAGUGGCGAAGGCGGGUCUCUGGACAGUUCCUGACACUGAGGCACGAAGGCCAGGGGAGCAAACGGG
rnacentral:rRNA from 1 species